GACGAACGCUGGCGGCGUGCUUAACACAUGCAAGUCGAACGGAAAGGCCCCCUUGUGGGGUACUCGAGUGGCGAACGGGUGAGUAACACGUGAGUAACCUACCCUUGACUUUGGGAUAACUUGAGGAAACUGGGGCUAAUACCGGAUAGGAGCUCCUGCUGCAUGGUGGGGGUUGGAAAGUUUCGGCGGUUGGGGAUGGACUCGCGGCUUAUCAGCUUGUUGGUGGGGUAGUGGCUCACCAAGGCUUUGACGGGUAGCCGGCCUGAGAGGGUGACCGGCCACAUUGGGACUGAGAUACGGCCCAGACUCCUACGGGAGGCAGCAGUGGGGAAUAUUGCACAAUGGGCGGAAGCCUGAUGCAGCAACGCCGCGUGCGGGAUGACGGCCUUCGGGUUGUAAACCGCUUUCGCCUGUGACGAAGCGUGAGUGACGGUAAUGGGUAAAGAAGCACCGGCUAACUACGUG
rnacentral:rRNA from 1 species